AUACGUAGGGGGCGAGCGUUAUCCGGAAUUAUUGGGCGUAAAGCGCGCGCAGGCGGUCAUUUAAGUCAGGUGUGAAAGGCUGCGGCUCAACCGCAGAGCGGCACCUGAAACUGGAUGACUUGAGUGCAGGAGAGGAGAGCGGAAUUCCCGGUGUAGCGGUGGAAUGCGUAGAGAUCGGGAGGAAAACCAGUGGCGAAGGCGGCUCUCUGGCCUGUUUCUGACGCUGAGGCGCGAAAGCGUGGGGAGCAAACAGGAUUAGAUACCCUGGUAGUCCACGCCGUAAACGAUGAGUGCUAGGUGUCGGGGGGUCCUACCCUCGGCGCCGAAGGUAACCCAUUAAGCACUCCGCCUGGGGAGUACGGCCGCAAGGCUGAA
rnacentral:rRNA from 1 species